rnacentral:rRNA from 1 species
CCCUUAGAUGUUCUGGGCCGCACGCGCGCUACAAUGAUGAAUUCAACGAGUUUAUAACCUUGGUUGAAAAGCCUGGGUAAUCUUUUGAACUUUCGUCGUGAUGGGGCUAGACCCUUGCAAUUAUUGGUCUCAACGAGGAAUUCCUAGUAAACGCAAGUCAUCAGCUUGCAUUGAUUACGUCCCUGCCCUUUGUACACAUUGCCCGUCGCACCUACCGAUUGAAUGGUCCGGUGAAAUCUUCGGAUUGAGACUUUGUUUUCUUCACGGAAAACGCUGUUUUAAAAAGUUGAUUAAACCUUACCAUUUAGAGGAAGGUGAAGUCGUAACA